AAAGGGAGACCUAAUUCGGGUAUGGGAUGAAAAAAAAGUAGUCCCUACCAAGAAUCAAUCCCAAAAGGUCGGAGCGAGGCAUAAGGCUUUCAAACUAGGUUCUGGGUUCACACAAGACCUGAAUCAGGAACAAGGGCUAUUAGCUCAGGUGGUUAGAGCGCACCCCUGAUAAGGGUGAGGUCCCUGGUUCGAGCCCAGGAUGGCCCACCUGCACAGGUGGCAAAAACAAGAGAAGCGAGGAAUCAGCACCUUAUCUUAUCUAUAUAUAAAUACAAGUAAGAGAGAAUGCUGGCUCUGAGUAAAGAGUCCAGAGGAACCUUGAAAACUGCAUAGAGCUAGGUGAAAAAGCCAAAAAAGAAGACCGCAAG
rnacentral:tRNA from 1 species